rnacentral:sRNA from 1 species
AAUUCUCUCCUAGGGCAGUGUUUCUGAAAGUGAGGUUCUGGGACCAGCCACUUCAGCAACACUUGAGAACUUGUUAAAAAUAAAAGUUCUCAGGCUCUACCACAGGCCAACUGAGUCAGGAACUCUAGCAGUUGAGCCCAGCAAUCUGUGUUUUCGCAAGGCUUCCCAGUGAUUCUGAUGGCCUUCACAUCUGAGAAGCAUUGUCACAGCGAAUCAUCCUCCAAACAGGACUGCAGCAGUAGCUUCCUCUUUAUUCUGGUCCUCAGAAGUGAAAUACAUAGCGGAGGUGGGUCAGAAUGCCUAUCUGCCCUGCUUCUACACCCCAGCUGCCCCAGGGAACCUCGUGCCCGUCUGCUGGGGCAAAGGAGCCUGUCCUGUGUUUGAAUGUGGCAGCGUGGUGCUCAGGACUGAUGAAAGGGAUGUGAAUCAUCGGACGUCCAGCAGAUACUGGCUAAAUGGGGAUUUCCGCAAAGGAGAUGUGUCCCUGACCAUAGAGAAUGUGACUCUCGCAGACAGUGGGAUCUACUGCUGCCGGAUCCAAAUCCCAGGCAUAAUGAAUGAUGAAAAAU